rnacentral:rRNA from 1 species
GAGUUUGAUCAUGGCUCAGGAUGAACGCUAGCGGCAGGCUUAAUACAUGCAAGUCGUGGGGCAGCGCAGUGUAGCAAUACAUGGGCGGCGACCGGCAAACGGGUGCGGAACACGUACGCAACCUUCCUUCAAGUGGGGAAUAGCCCAGGGAAACUUGGAUUAAUACCCCGUAAUAUUAUGAGGCGGCAUCACCUUAUAAUUAUAGCUCCGGCGCUUGAAGAUGGGCGUGCGCCUGAUUAGGUAGUUGGCGGGUAACGGCCCACCAAGCCUUCGAUCAGUAACUGGUGUGAGAGCACGACCAGUCACACGGGCACUGAGACACGGGCCCGACUCCUACGGGAGCAGCAGUAAGGAAUAUUGGUCAAUGGACGCAAGUCUGAACCAGCCAUGCCGCGUGGAGGAUGAAGGUCCUCUGGAUUGUAAACUUCUUUUAUCU